AGAACGAACGCUGGCGGCAUGCCUAACACAUGCAAGUCGAACGCUCAUCUUCGGAUGGGAGUGGCGCACGGGUGAGUAACGCGUGGGAACCUGCCCCGAGGUUCGGGAUAACCGAUGGAAACGUCGGCUAAUACCGGAUACGUCCUAAGGGAGAAAGAUUUAUCGCCCUGGGAGGGGCCCGCGUCGGAUUAGCUAGUUGGUGGGGUAACGGCCUACCAAGGCGAUGAUCCGUAGCUGGUCUGAGAGGAUGAUCAGCCACACUGGGACUGAGACACGGCCCAGACUCCUACGGGAGGCAGCAGUGGGGAAUAUUGGACAAUGGGCGCAAGCCUGAUCCAGCAAUGCCGCGUGAGUGAUGAAGGCCUUAGGGUUGUAAACCUCUUUCAGCUCCGACGAAGCGAAAGUGACGGUAGGAGCAGAAGAAGCACCGGCCAACUACGUGCCAGCAGCCGC
rnacentral:rRNA from 1 species